ACAAUACUGGAGAGUGAAUACUUGGGAGAGUUGAGGGUGUGAGCUUACACCGACGAGCCCACACACCAACAGUGGUGAACCUGACGUGAAAGAAAUACAUGGCGGCCGGAGAGAAAAGGAUGACGAAGAGCAGUUACCAGGUGGGGGAGAGCUCCAAGCGACCCGAGCGGGAGCUGGAGGGGUAUCGGCCGGAGCAACGUCACUCCCGGGACCGGUACUCAGAGGAAGUAAGGGCCAACGAGGAGUGGGACGACGAGGAUAGGCUGCGUAUGGAGUUCGAGGAGAUCAGGUACGGCUGGGAGUCACCCGAGAGGCGCCGGCACAAAGGGGCGGCAUCGCCACCGAGG
rnacentral:lncRNA from 1 species